UACGGAGGGGACUAGCGUUGUUCGGAAUUACUGGGCGUAAAGCGCACGUAGGCGGAUUUGUAAGUCAGGGGUGAAAUCCCGGGGCUCAACCCCGGAACUGCCUUUGAUACUGCAAAUCUCGAGUCCGGAAGAGGAGAGUGGAAUUCCUGGUGUAGCGGUGAAAUGCGCAGAUAUCAGGAAGAACACCGAUGGCGAAAGCAGCUCUCUGGGACGGUACUGACGCUGAGGCGCGAAAGCGUGGGGAGCGAACAGG
rnacentral:rRNA from 1 species